AAGUUUUCCUCCAACGGACGCAAAACGUGAAUACUUCACAAUUAAUCAGAGUAUGCAAAUACUAAUUUUUGGCGGGAAUGCCGAUUAAAUUAGUAAACAAUUGUCGGCAUUGAAUGAUUUACCGUGGAUGCUUCGUGGAAAUUGGUGCAUACUGGAUGGCAUUUCGUGCGGAUUCAAUUGGCGCGAAAAAUGGAGGAUGGAAUUGAGGCGAAUGGACCGAAGCCCAUAAAAGUGGUCAUCGAUUUUCUAAUAGAUCUAAUGUGAGUAGUGGAAUCUGCAGUGAGUGGAGCAAACUGCAAAAUUUUUGCUGAUGCGGAGUAGUUUAAUAGUAAGAUGGAAUCUGCAGCGGAAUCUAAAGUAUACUAUAAUAUU